ensembl:lncRNA
CUGGGGCUGAGCUUGGCAGAGGUCAUUUCACUUGGGAAGAUGGGAGCACCUCCUUUUGCAUGGAUUUGUGGGGCCCAGCCUCAGGAUCUGUCAUAGAGAGAGAUGGCUUGGCUUGGCUGGAGCAGAGCACCCUCUCUGCCUCCAGCUGAGGGGCCCGGACCUUGAGCAUUGCCGGGAUUCCCAGGACGGCCAGCAGAGGGCGCGCGCGCGCCACCCCCAGGGAGGGGCAGGGUCUCUGCGUGCGCAGCCACGGCCAGCAGAGGGCGCGCAUCGGCUGCGCUGACCCAGGGCGCCUCAGGGCGGGAAGGGCCUGUGCAGCCACAGGAGGAUCCAGCCCAGUGCGCUGCAGGUGCCUCCGGGCAGAGAGCCAGAGCUGCGUUUCCAGCAGGUUCUGCCGGCCGCCCCGGGGAGACCCUGGGGGCUUUGCAGCCACUUGGCGUCUCCUGAGCUUGUCCAUAUUUUGCCUGGCCAUUUCCCUCUUGGCUCUGAUGGUGUUCGGAUUCUGUGGACCCUUACCAUUAUAAUUGCCUCCUUGGGAAUUUGUACAUUUCUAAUUUACCUCUGGAGAACCAUUCUUGCUGUAAGUAUAAUAACAUACCUUAUAGAUAGACAUAUUUGUAAUAAUAAGUAAGCAGAAAAUUUUAUAGUCACUGGACCUUUAAUAUGCAUUCAAUACUACCAACUUCCCUCUAAUAUGUUCAUUUUCCACUAUCAUUUAAAUUGAAAUAUUUAAAAAGUUCUGUUGAAGUGCCUUCAGUUUUUAAAGUUCAAGUAUAAUUGAUAAAUGGUAUAAUAUUAGUUUCAGGUGGACAUGGUGACUCAGCAUGUGCUCAUUGCAAUAAGUGUACUCUUAAUCCCCUUCACCUCUUUCACCCAUCCCUCCACCUAUCUCCCCUCUAACCCAUGUGUUCUUUAGAAGUGUAUUGUUUAAUAUUCACUUUUUUGUUGUUCUGCACCUGUCCUUUUGUCCUUUUUUUAAAAAUGAUUUUAUUUAUUUAUUCAUGAGAGAUACAGAGAGAGAGGCCGAGACACAGACAGAGAGCUGUCUCCGUGCAGGGAGCCCUAUGUGGGACUUGAUCCUAGGUCUCCAGGAUCACUCCCUGGGCCGAAGGCAGAUGCCAAACCUUUGAGCCACCCAGUCAUCCCUCCUUCUGUUCUCGAUGUCCAGUUUGAGUCAUUUGUGGUCUGAGAACAUACUUCCUGUGAUUUCUGUUUCUUUGGUUGUUCAGAUAUAUUUUAGGGCCCUGAAUAUAGCCUGUAUCAGUGAAUGUUCCAUGUUAGCUUGAGAAGAAUGUAUAUUCUGUUGUUGGAUGAAAUGUUCUAUAGAUGUUAAUGGAUCCAGUUGAUUGAUGAUGCUGUUCAGUUCACCUAUGUUCUUAUGGAAUUGCUGUAUCUGCUGGAUCUGUCAAUGACUGAGAGAGGAUUUUGAGUUUUCCAGCUGUAAUAAUAGAUUCAUCUGUUUUCAUCAGCAAUUCUUUCAGUUUCUGCCUCAUGUAUUUUGAUGCUGUUGUUAAUGCAUGCACAUUAGAAAUUAUUAUGUCUUUUUGGAGAAUUGACCCUUUUACCAUUGAAGUGAUGCCCAUCAUUAUCCCUGACAGUUUUCCUUACUCUGUAGUGUGUUUUGAUGGAUUAUUUCACUGCCACAGGUUUCUAGUUUGAUGUUUCUUUUAACACUAAACAUAUCAUCAUUCUUGAUGCAUGGUUUAUGAAAAGAGGUGGAAUGUAGUCCUUAUGCUUGCUCCUCUUGGGUAAGGUGUGACUGCUACCCUCUCACCCUUCCACCACCUACUCCCAAACUCUGCUCUAGAUUAUCAUAUGAUUUCAGUAAUAUGUGGAAUUUAGGAACAAAAUAGAAAAUCAAAGGGGGAGGGAGGGAAAAAUAAAAAAAGAUGAACUCAGAGAGGGAAACA